rnacentral:rRNA from 2 species
GCAUGGUUGUCGUCAGCUCGUGUCGUGAGAUGUUGGGUUAAGUCCCGCAACGAGCGCAACCCUUGUCUUAUGUUGCCAGCAUUUGGUUGGGGACUCAUGAGAGACUGCCGGGGUUAACUCGGAGGAAGGUGGGGAUGACGUCAAAUCAUCAUGCCCCUUAUGUCCAGGGCUUCACACAUGCUACAAUGGUCGGUACAACGCGCAGCGACACUGUGAGGUGGAGCGAAUCGCUGAAAGCCGGCCUUAGUUCGGAUUGGGGUCUGCAACUCGACCCCAUGAAGUCGGAGUCGCUAGUAAUCGCAGAUCAGCAACGCUGCGGUGAAUACGUUCCCGGGCCUUGUACACACCGCCCGUCACGUCAUGAAAGUUGGUAACACCCGAAGCCAGUGGCCUAAACUUGUUAGGGAGCUGUCGAAGGUGGGAUCGGCGAUUGGGACGAAGUCGUAACAAGGUACCCGUACCGGAAGGUGCGGG